GUCCCAGCCGCCGCGGUAAUACGGAGGGUGCAAGCGUUGUUCGGAAUUACUGGGCGUAAAGAGCGUGUAGGCGGUUUGGUAAGUCAGAUGUGAGAGUCCUGGGCUCAACCCAGGAAGUGCAUUUGAUACUGCCAUUCUUGAGUAUGGGAGAGGAGAGUGGAAUUCCCAGUGUAGAGGUGAAAUUCGUAGAUAUUGGGAGGAACACCCGUGGCGAAGGCGACUCUCUGGACCAAUACUGACGCUGAGACGCGAAAGCGUGGGGAGCAAACAGGAUUAGAUACCCUGGUAGUCCACGCCGUAAACGAUGAGAACUAGGUGUAGCGGGUAUUGACCCCUGCUGUGCCGGAGUUAACGCAUUAAGUUCUCCGCCUGGGGAGUACGGCCGCAAGGCUAAAACUCAAAGGAAUUGACGGGGACCCGCACAAGCGGUGGAGCAUGUGGUUUUAAUUCGACGCAACGCGAAGAACCUUACCUGGAUUUGACAUCCUCUGACAGUCCCGGGAAACGGGAUCUUCCCUGCUUGCAGGGACAGAGUGACAGGUGCUGCAUGGCUGUCGUCAGCUCGUGUCGUGAGAUGUUGGGUUAAGUCCCGCAACGAGCGCAACCCUUGUUUUUAGUUGCCAUUAUUAAGUUAGGCACUCUAAAAAUACUGCCUCGGUUAACGGGGAGGAAGGUGGGGAUGACGUCAAGUCCUCAUGGCCUUUAUAUCCAGGGCUACACACGUGCUACAAUGGGCUGUACAAAGGGUUGCCAUUCCGUGAGGAGGAGCUAAUCCCAAAAAGCAGCUCUCAGUUCGGAUUGAAGUCUGCAACUCGACCUCAUGAAGUUGGAAUCGCUAGUAAUCGUGGAUCAGCAUGCCACGGUGAAUACGUUCCCGGGUCUUGUACACACCGCCCGUCACACCACGAAAGUCGACUGUACCAGAAGUUGCUGGGCUAACCCCGUUUGGGGAGGUAGGUACCUAAGGUACGGCCGGUAAUUGGGGUGAAGUCGUAACAAGGUAACC
rnacentral:rRNA from 1 species